rnacentral:rRNA from 1 species
UACGGGGGGGGCAAGCGUUGUUCGGAAUUACUGGGCGUAAAGGGCUCGUAGGCGGCCAACUAAGUCAUACGUGAAAUCCCUCGGCUUAACCGGGGAACUGCGUCUGAUACUGGAUGGCUUGAGUUCGGGAGAGGGAUGCGGAAUUCCAGGUGUAGCGGUGAAAUGCGUAGAUAUCAGGAGGAACACCGGUGGCGAAGGCGGGUCUCUGGGCCGAUACUGACGCUGAGGAGCGAAAGCGUGGGGAGCGAACAGG